AUUGAACGCUGGCGGCAUGCUUUACACAUGCCAGUCGGACGGCAGCGCGGGCUUCGGCCUGGCGGCGAGUGGCGAACGGGUGAGUAAUACAUCGGAACGUGCCCAGUAGUGGGGGAUAGCUCGGCGAAAGCCGGAUUAAUACCGCAUACGACCUGAGGGUGAAAGCGGGGGACUUUAGGGCCUCGCGCUAUUGGAGCGGCCGAUGGCAGAUUAGCUAGUUGGUGGGGUAAAGGCCUACCAAGGCGACGAUCUGUAGCUGGUCUGAGAGGACGACCAGCCACACUGGGACUGAGACACGGCCCAGACUCCUACGGGAGGCAGCAGUGGGGAAUUUUGGACAAUGGGCGCAAGCCUGAUCCAGCAAUGCCGCGUGUGUGAUGAAGGCCUUCGGGUUGUAAAGCACUUUUGGCAGGAACGAAAAGUGCCGUGCUAAUACCACGGUACGAUGACGGUACCUGCAGAAUAAGCACCGGCUAACUACGUG
rnacentral:rRNA from 1 species